rnacentral:rRNA from 1 species
UACAGAGGGUGCGAGCGUUGUUCGGAAUUAUUGGGCGUAAAGCGCGUGUAGGCGGCCUGGCAAGUUGGGUGUGAAAUCCCUCGGCUUAACCGAGGAAGUGCGCUCAAAACUACUUGGCUUGAGUACCGGAGAGGAGGGCGGAAUUCCCGGUGUAGAGGUGAAAUUCGUAGAUAUCGGGAGGAACACCAGUGGCGAAGGCGGCUCGCUGGACAGGUACUGACGCUGAGACGCGAAAGCGUGGGUAGCAAACAGG